UCAUGGUCACACUGAGGUUUCUGGCUGUCAUCGUCGUAUGGUUCAUUCUCGGAGUCACAGCUAUUGCGAGCAUUGCAGCUUCUGCUGUUUUCUGGUACCAAUGGGACACGAAGAACAGGGAACUCAAAAAGCUUCCGCUACUGCAUGAAGAACGGGGUCUUCGGGAGAAGCGGCUUUCCUAUUGGCUGUUCGCGGCUAUCAUAGCUACGAUCUUUAUGGUGAUUUUGCUUCUGAUGUUAAUCAUCAUGCGAAAAAGGAUCAAAAUGGUACUUUUUUCAUCACCUUCC